ensembl:lncRNA
CUUGUUGAGACCUAGUUAGGUCUUAAUUUAUGCUGCACCUCGUUUGCUUUAGCUAUUUUGGGUUACGAAUGAACUUGGCUAGCGAUUUUUCUCCCGGUUUUAUUUCGAGGAUUAAUUUAGUGGAAUAAGCAUAGUUAGUAACAAGGGGUUCAGAUGGCACCACCAGGCUGACUAGCUGUUCUGGCCUGUAGAGGCGGCUGUAGGAAGUCCGUGAUGUGAAGCUGCCAUCACGUCGUCAGGAGUCUGUCAGUCUGAGACCAUGUGACCUGCAUUGGACUGCCCUCCACCCCAUCCCUCAGACUCUCAAUGCCGCAGUCUGGUUGGUCAAUCUGAGACCAUGUGACCUGCAGUGAUCCCCCAGCCCUCUGGUUCCAUAGAUGGGAAGGGCUUCCCACCACAAUGGCUGCCCAUCCUGUGGUUUCUGUGUUUCAGAACCAGAAGGGUGCUGAUUGACUUCAAUCAUGUUGAAGGGGUGGUUACUACCCACAGCUGGUGUUAUCCAAUACAUAAUGGGCUGCACACCUGGGCUGCAGUCCAAACACUUAAGAUGCACCCUACCCCCUUCAGCCCCCAUUAAGUGGACACUUCUGAUAACCUAUAAUGCUGCCUGACGAGUAUAUACUUGCAGGGCAAAGAAGCAUUUUUAAAAUGGCUGCCCUUACCUGGAAAUCCGCCGUUCGCCCCGCGAUUGUCUUUUAGCCACCGGUAGCUUUUGGGUGUUAUGUGCUACAGUCAAUUAUGAUUCCAUGUCUAAAAAAUAUCUUAAUGUGAAAUGUAUACACUUACUGUAUGUCAGCUAGCAAAUUAAUUAGUUACCUACCGUUAGCCUGUCUAGCUGGAACAUCUGAAGAUAGAUGUAGUAAUACAAUUUCCACACGCUAACCAAAUAGUACUUUAUGAGAUGUUUGUACUGUCAUGUGCAUUAGUACAAUUUAGAACUUAUUUACGUUUGUUUUUACUUUCACUUGUAAGUUGACCACUAAAACGAGGGCUGAGGGGCUUACGGUGCAAGCUUCCCUUGCUUGGCUAAUAAUUUGUACUGCCUGCCAAGAUGGUGAUGUUAUUCCCCCAAGGGCAUAAAGUGAGGGUUUUUGGUUUGGGCUGUGUCCCUGUACUAAUGUCCAGUUGUAUAUAGUGAAGUGCCACAAAGGACACAGGCAAAUUAGUUGGCCCGGAACAGGGCAGCGCGACUGGCAAGAGUAGUGUAUUUAUGUGGGUUGUAGUUUUAUUACUUAAUUACUAUUUUGUUUACCAUUUCUGUUAUCCUCACCCUGCCUGUAUCUGGACCCUACAGUCUGCAGCAGUAUCAUAUAUAUGUAUAGUGUCAAGACCUUGGGUCUUUUGUUCUGUUAAGGUAGUCAAUAAAGUUUUUACAAUGUGUUCUGGUAGUUUGUGUGAAUGUGAUUGGCUGCUAGUUCCUGUUUUGGUCACAGUUCUGUGAUUAUGACAGAUCACUGCAAGCUGUCUCGGUAAUAGUUGCUGUUGGCAGUACUGACUUACCAGUAGGGGUCACUAAAGUAUCGCCAUGUACAUGUCCACCAGCUGGCUCUAGCAAUUUUGUCUCGGUGAGGUUUAAUAAAUGCCUUUUAAAGUUGUCUGGUUAAACUAUCAAAAGGAUACAAUAAGUCUGACCCUGUUGCUUAGGUACAGAACAGGAGCCCUACACCAACCU